GCAUUUCAAAUGAUGAUUACUUAGUUCAGCUGAAAAUUAUGAUCGACUAAUUUCGCCCCUAUCUGAAAUAG
rnacentral:snoRNA from 1 species